GAUGAACGCUGGCGGCGUGCCUAAUACAUGCAAGUCGAGCGAACGGACGAGAAGCUUGCUUCUCUGAUGUUAGCGGCGGACGGGUGAGUAACACGUGGAUAACCUACCUAUAAGACUGGGAUAACUUCGUGAAACCGUAGCUAAUACCGGAUAAUAUUUUGAACCGCAUGGUUCAAAAGUGAAAGACGGUCUUGCUGUCACUUAUAGAUGGUUCCGCGCUGCAUUAGCUAGUUGGUAAGGUAACGGCUUACCAAGGCAACGAUGCAUAGCCGACCUGAGAGGGUGAUCGGCCACACUGGAACUGAGACACGGUCCAGACUCCUACGGGAGGCAGCAGUAGGGAAUCUUCCGCAAUGGGCGAAAGCCUGACGGAGCCACGCCGCGUGAGUGAUGAAGGUCUUCGGAUCGUAAAACUCUGUUAUUAGGGAAGAACAUAUGUGUAAGUAACUGUGCACAUCUUGACGGUACCUAAUCAGAAAGCCACGGCUAACUACGUG
rnacentral:rRNA from 1 species